UACGGAGGGUGCAAGCGUUAUCCGGAUUCACUGGGGUUAAAGCGUGUGUAGGCGGAUCGUUAAGUGUCUUGUGAAAUCCCACGGCUCACCCGUGGAACUGCUGGGCAUACUGGCGAUCUUGGGCCAACUAGGGGCAACUGGAACAAGCGGUGGAGCGGUGAAAUGCGUAGAUAUCGCUUGGAACGCCAACGGUGAAAACAGGUUGCUGGGGUUGUGCCGACGCUGAGACACGAAAGCCAGGGGAGCAAACGGG
rnacentral:rRNA from 1 species